rnacentral:rRNA from 1 species
AUUGCCUAGUACGGCGAGUGAAGCGGCAACAGCUCAAAUUUGAAAGCUGGCUCCGGCCCGCGUUGUAAUUUGCAGAGGAUGCUUCUGGUGAGGUGCCUUCCGAGUUCCCUGGAACGGGACGCCAUAGAGGGUGAGAGCCCCGUAUGGAUGGACACCAAACCUGUGUGAAGCUCCUUCAACGAGUCGAGUAGUUUGGGAAUGCUGCUCUAAAUGGGAGGUAAAUCUCUUCUAAAGCUAAAUACCGGCCAGAGACCGAUAGCGCACAAGUAGAGUGAUCGAAAGAUGAAAAGCACCUUGAAAAGGGGGUUAAACAGUACGUGAAAUUGUUGAAAGGGAAGCGCUUGUGACCAGACUUGCGCCGGGCAGCUCAUCAGGGGUUCUCCCCUGUGCACUCUGCCCGGCUCAGGCCAGCAUCGGUUCUCGUGGGAGGAUAAGAACGGUUGGAACGUGGCCCCCCUCCGGGGGGGUGUUAUAGCCUACCGUACGAUACUCCCGUGGGGACCGAGGUUCGCGCUCCGCAAGGAUGCUGGCGUAAUGGUCAUCAGCGACCCGUCUU